rnacentral:rRNA from 1 species
UACGAAGGGGGCUAGCGUUGCUCGGAUUUACUGGGCGUAAAGGGCGCGUAGGCGGACAGUUUAGUCAGAGGUGAAAGCCCAGGGCUCAACCUUGGAAUUGCCUUUGAUACUGGCUGUCUUGAGUACGGGAGAGGUGAGUGGAACUCCGAGUGUAGAGGUGAAAUUCGUAGAUAUUCGGAAGAACACCAGUGGCGAGGGCGACUCACUGGCCCGGUACUGACGCUGAGGCGCGAAAGCGUGGGGAGCAAACAGG